AAAGGUGAAACCUAAUUGGCCUGGAGAAGAGCUUGCGUCUGAUUAGCUAGUUGGUGGGGUAAAGGCCUACCAAGGCAACGAUCAGUAGCUGGUCUGAGAGGAUGAGCAGCCACACUGGGACUGAGACACGGCCCAGACUCCUACGGGAGGCAGCAGUGGGGAAUUUUCCGCAAUGGGCGAAAGCCUGACGGAGCAACGCCGCGUGAGGGAGGAAGGUCUUUGGAUUGUAAACCUCUUUUCUCAAGGAAGAAGUUCUGACGGUACUUGAGGAAUCAGCCUCGGCUAACUCCGUGCCAGCAGCCGCGGUAAUACGGGGGAGGCAAGCGUUAUCCGGAAUUAUUGGGCGUAAAGCGUCCGCAGGUGGUCAGCCAAGUCUGCC
rnacentral:rRNA from 1 species